GUAAAUUGGCGUAAAAGUUAACUCAAAUUUGUAUGUAGUUGGAAGGUUUGCUUACAUUUGCCCGUAGGGGCGCUCUUCCAACUGCAUACAAAUUUGAGUUAACUUUUACACUAUCGA
rnacentral:pre_miRNA from 9 species